rnacentral:tRNA from 1 species
GAGAUAGGCUCGCUAGCACCAGAGACUGCUAAUCUUUGUCACCUUGGUUGGACCCCAGGGCUAACUCG